AGAUGACUGAGAAUAAUCACAGUUUUUUAGAGAAAUCAUAAAAUCCUCAAUCAUAACUAAGACCUAAUUUGAGACAGAGUCUUCUUAGAACACACAAAAAAGGUAAGCAAUGGGCAACAAAAAGUCUAAAUUUCAGAGACAGAAUUAGAGCCAACGGGUUGUGUGUACAGAAGAAUAAGACAAAACAACUAUUCAUAUUUUUCUUUAGGGCUUGAGGAGAAAGAGCAUUAGUAAUGCUCCAGAAAAGAGUUAACAGUGAAGCUGUGAAGUGAGCAUGCAAAAAUUAUCCCUACCUCCAGGACAAAGGAUUCCUAUUUCAACAGCAAACUUGCAGGUCAUCUCUUCCAGAUGUAUGAAGGUAUGAGAGAAGAAGCUGCCUGACCACUAAGGACAUCAACGAGAGGCAAGAAAUAAAUUUGAGUUAAGCCACCA
rnacentral:lncRNA from 1 species